rnacentral:rRNA from 1 species
GUCUAUGGCCAUACCACCCUGAAUGCCUCGAUCUCAUCUGAUCUCAGAAGCUAAGCAGGGUCGGGCCUGGUUAGUAUUUGGAUGGGAAGACCAAGCACUGGGAUUACAGAUA